AACGUUUUUGGCACGUAUGUCCACGUAUAAAAUCCUGCUGCGAUCAGAUCGUCUUCUAAACUCUGGCAAGCCAACUUGACGGCAAGAACAUAGUAUCGGUUACUCGAAAGUGUCACCAAGGAGGAAAUGCAGUUUAAAGUUAUUCUUGUGGGCCUGAGCAUUUUCGCUCUCAUUGUUGCAGAGAGUGGUGCCAUGCCGGCCAGCAGCAGCGCCAAUGAGGCACAAGCCAGGAUUGAACCUGAGCCUGCAGAUCGCGCUGAGCCGAGCAGCGCUGAAGAGGCGCGUAUCAGCGACGCGUGCCUAAAAUCCCUUUGUGGGUAGGAACUUGGCACCAGGGAAUAAAGUUCUAACGAACGCUUAUCGGACGCGAGCAGCCCUUGGUAUUAUGUCGCAGUGCCGAAGAUGAAGCACUAAGUAUUGAUCCUUGACGAAUUGUAUCAAUCAAUAAAGUUUAUUUUCGAAAGACGC